AUUUCACUCUUCCUUGUUUAAUUUAUUUCCAUUUUGUUUUGAAUAAAUUUCAAUUUCUUUUUUACAUUCGCUGCUGCAAGUGCAAAUCCAAGGGCUGCAUCUUUCGAUUCCAAAAAUUUUCUUUUUUCUCCUCGUAGAUUUUUCUCCGGUUCUUUGUUCUUUUUUCAUUUUUCAUUUCAUUUCAGAUUUUUUUAAAAAAAAAUUAUUUUUGAAUACUGUUUUGGUUCAGUAAGGAAAGCGCCGAGCUUUGUGGUAGUCAGAUCUGAUGGAACCAUGAACUUGGAUUUGAACCCUGAAGGUCGAAGGGCUCAACAAUUUAUUGCCAAUGCAGUUGCGACCAAAGAAGAUAGCUCCGCAGCGUCGUCAUCUUCGAAACCAGGAGGAUACCGCUUGAUUUUCUGCAAGGAGACAAUUUCCGUGAAGCUGCAGUUAGUUAUAUUAAGCCUCUUCUAACGAAGGGGGUUCCAUCUUUAUUCUCAGAUCUUUCUCCUUUGUAUGAUCACCCUGGCAAGACAUGUUGGAGCAACUUAUUCUUGAGUUGGAGCAUUCAAUUAGGAUUAAUGGGAGAUAUCCUGAUAGUCACUACUCAGAGGUAGGUUUUUGCUUGAAAGACCUGUUGAAGAGGAGAGACCACCUUCUGUGGCAGUGAGUGAAUUAAAUCAAUUAAGUCACUACUCAGAAGUAAAAUAUCAAUUAGCCUGUUACUUUAUCAGAAUGUGUUAUAUUUCCUCAACUUGUGCAUUUUUUUUUUUUUUGCAAUCAAUUAGUUGCACUAUUUGAACUUGUAAUUUUGCUAUUUCAAUAUUAACUUGAUUUUUCAAUAUUUUGACUAAAAAUAUUAAUUUAUUUUUGA